rnacentral:tRNA from 1 species
GAAGUUUUGACACAGUGGUAACGUGCUGAACUUGUAAUCCAGAGGGCUGGGGUUCGAAUCUUGAAAAAUACA